CGGAGCGUGGCGCAGCUUGGUAGCGCACUUGCUUCGGGAGCAAGGGGUCGCUGGUUCAAAUCCAGUCGCUCCGACCA
rnacentral:tRNA from 2 species